GGGUUGUGAGGUUAAGCGACUAAGCGUACACGGUGGAUGCCCUGGCAGUCAGAGGCGAUGAAGGGCGUACUAAUCUGCGAUAAGCGCCGGUAAGGUGAUAUGAACCGUUAUAACCGGCGAUACCCGAAUGGGGAAACCCAGUGUGAUUCGUCACACUAUCAUUAACUGAAUCCAUAGGUUAAUGAGGCGAACCGGGGGAACUGAAACAUCUAAGUACCCCGAGGAAAAGAAAUCAACCGAGAUUCCCCCAGUAGCGGCGAGCGAACGGGGAGGAGCCCAGAGCCUGAAUCAGCAUGUGUGUUAGUGGAAGCGUCUGGAAAGGCGCGCGAUACAGGGUGACAGCCCCGUACACAAAAGCGCAUGUGCUGUGAGCUCGAUGAGUAGGGCGGGACACGUGGUAUCCUGUCUGAAUAUGGGGGGACCAUCCUCCAAGGCUAAAUACUCCUGACUGACCGAUAGUGAACCAGUACCGUGAGGGAAAGGCGAAAAGAACCCCGGCGAGGGGAGUGAAAAAGAACCUGAAACCGUGUACGUACAAGCAGUGGGAGCACCCUUUGGGUGUGACUGCGUACCUUUUGUAUAAUGGGUCAGCGACUUAUAUUCUGUAGCAAGGUUAACCGAAUAGGGGAGCCGGAGGGAAACCGAGUCUUAAUUGGGCGUUAAGUUGCAGGGUAUAGACCCGAAACCCGGUGAUCUAGCCAUGGGCAGGUUGAAGGUUGGGUAACACUAACUGGAGGACCGAACCGACUAAUGUUGAAAAAUUAGCGGAUGACCUGUGGCUGGGGGUGAAAGGCCAAUCAAACCGGGAGAUAGCUGGUUCUCCCCGAAAGCUAUUUAGGUAGCGCCUCGUGAAUUCAUCUCCGGGGGUAGAGCACUGUUUCGGCUAGGGGGCCAUCCCGGCUUACCAACCCGAUGCAAACUGCGAAUACCGGAGAAUGUUAUCACGGGAGACACACGGCGGGUGCUAACGUCCGUCGUGAAGAGGGAAACAACCCAGACCGCCAGCUAAGGUCCCAAAGUCAUGGUUAAGUGGGAAACGAUGUGGGAAGGCCCAGACAGCCAGGAUGUUGGCUUAGAAGCAGCCAUCAUUUAAAGAAAGCGUAAUAGCUCACUGGUCGAGUCGGCCUGCGCGGAAGAUGUAACGGGGCUAAACCAUGCACCGAAGCUGCGGCAGCGACACUGUGUGUUGUUGGGUAGGGGAGCGUUCUGUAAGCCUGUGAAGGUGUGUCGUGAGGC
rnacentral:rRNA from 1 species